rnacentral:rRNA from 1 species
UGGGGAAUUUGGACAAUGGGCGAAAGCCUGAUCCAGCAAUGCCGCGUGUGUGAAGAAGGCCUUCGGGUUGUAAAGCACUUUUGUCCGGAAAGAAAUCCUUGGCUCUAAUACAGUCGGGGGAUGACGGUACCGGAAGAAUAAGCACCGGCUAACUACGUGCCAGCAGCCGCGGUAAUACGUAGGGUGCAAGCGUUAAUCGGAAUUACUGGGCGUAAAGCGUGCGCAGGCGGUUUGCUAAGACCGAUGUGAAAUCCCCGGGCUCAACCUGGGAACUGCAUUGGUGACUGGCAGGCUAGAGUAUGGCAGAGGGGGGUAGAAUUCCACGUGUAGCAGUGAAAUGCGUAGAGAUGUGGAGGAAUACCGAUGGCGAAGGCAGCCCCCUGGGCCAAUACUGACGCUCAUGCACGAAAGCGUGGGGAGCAAACAGGAUUAGAUACCCUGGUAGUCCAGCGCCCUAAAACGAUGUCAACUAGUUGUUGGGGAUUCAUUCCUUAGUAACGUAGCUAACGCGUGAAGUUGACC